AGCGAACGCUGGCGGCAGGCCUAACACAUGCAAGUCGAACGAAGUCUUCGGACUUAGUGGCGGACGGAUGAGUAACACGUGGGAACGUACCUUUUGGUUCGGAACAUCUCAGGGAAACUUGAGCUAAUACCGGAUGAGCCCUUAGGGGGAAAGAUUUAUCGCCGAAAGAGCGGCCCGCGUUAGAUUAGCUAGUUGGUGAGGUAAAGGCUCACCAAGGCUACGAUCUAUAGCUGGUCUGAGAGGAUGAUCAGCCACACUGGGACUGAGACACGGCCCAGACUCCUACGGGAGGCAGCAGUGGGGAAUCUUGCGCAAUGGGCGAAAGCCUGACGCAGCCAUGCCGCGUGAAUGAUGAAGGUCUUAGGAUUGUAAAAUUCUUUUACCAGGGACGAUAAUGACGGUACCUGGAGAAAAAGCCCCGGCUAACUUCGUGCCAGCCGCCGCGGUAACAC
rnacentral:rRNA from 1 species